GACGGAGGAUGCAAGCGUUAUCCGGAAUUAUUGGGCGUAAAGCGUCCGCAGGUGGCACUUCAAGUCUGUCGUCAAAGACCGGGGCUUAACCCUGGAAAGGCGAUGGAAACUGAAAGGCUAGAGAGAGGUAGGGGUAGAGGGAAUUCCCAGUGUAGCGGUGAAAUGCGUAGAGAUUGGGAAGAACAUCGGUGGCGAAAGCGCUCUACUGGACCUCAUCUGACACUCAGGGACGAAAGCUAGGGGAGCGAAUGGG
rnacentral:rRNA from 1 species